rnacentral:rRNA from 1 species
UGCGUAGGCGGCUUCUUAAGUCUGGUGUGAAAUCUCCCGGCUCAACUGGGAGGGUGCGCCGGUUACUGAGGGGCUAGAGUGUGGGAGAGGAAAGUGGAAUUCCUGGUGUAGCGGUGAAAUGCGUAGAUAUCAGGAGGAACACCGGUGGUGUAAACGGCUUUCUGGACCAUAACUGACGCUGAGGCACGAAAGCGUGGGUAGCAAACA